rnacentral:rRNA from 1 species
UGGGGAAUAUUGGACAAUGGGCGCAAGCCUGAUCCAGCCAUGCCGCGUGAGUGAUGAAGGCCCUAGGGUUGUAAAGCUCUUUCACCGGUGAAGAUAAUGACGGUAACCGGAGAAGAAGCCCCGGCUAACUUCGUGCCAGCAGCCGCGGUAAUACGAAGGGGGCUAGCGUUGUUCGGAUUUACUGGGCGUAAAGCGCACGUAGGCGGACUAUUAAGUCAGGGGUGAAAUCCCGGGGCUCAACCCCGGAACUGCCUUUGAUACUGGUAGUCGUGAGUUCGGGAGAGGUGAGUGGAAUUCCGAGUGUAGAGGUGAAAUUCGUAGAUAUUCGGAGGAACACCAGUGGCGAAGGCGGCUCACUGGCUCGAUACUGACGCUGAGGUGCGAAAGCGUGGGGAGCAAACAGG